rnacentral:misc_RNA from 1 species
AAGUCGUAACAAGGUUUCCGUAGGUGAACCUGCGGAAGGAUCAUUAUUGAAUUUAAUGUAGAGUUGGUUGUAGCUGGCUCCCUUGGAUUAAUUUCUUUGGGGGCAUGUGCACACCUUCUCUUUCAUCCACACACACCUGUGAACCUGUGAGAUAGUAGUUGGGGACUUUAAUGGACCCACUUCUGUCUACUUAAUUCAUAUAAAAUCAAUUUUAUUUAAAACGAAUGUAAUGGAUGUAACGCAUCUAAUACUAAGUUUCAACAACGGAUCUCUUGGCUCUC